rnacentral:lncRNA from 1 species
ACCACACGAUCCAGCUAGUCAGGGGAUAUCCACAAGUAAUCUAGGUCUAAGCACCACGCUUACACCUAUACUACAACUCUAACCUAUAUGGUCCUAUAGAUUAGAAGUACUCAAAAGAGUUGUGAACCAGAACAUACAUGAUUAGUAAUUGCAUAAUGAAUUAGAAGUAGAUUACCAGAGUCAUCCCAUGAGCAAGCUUGAUUAGAGCUUGAUCAUGGCGAAGUACAACCGGAGGAAGAACCGACAGGCCGGCCUCUCCUCUAAUCCUCCUUCGCUCUCCAUCUCGCUACUAUCUAGAUCUACUCUAGUUUAGAGAAGAGAGGAGAGCUCUCAUCUCUAAACCCUAGCUUUUGCUCUGUCUAUGAAUAAUGAAUAAUGAUAAAGGGGUGUCUCCUCCAGGGGCCAGGAGGUCUGGUUUUAUAGUCCCCUCAAGUGAACCUGGGCCGUCGGAUCAAACCGACAUUGAUUGAACGGUUAUUCUUGAUCCUUUAGGUCGGUGGAGCAUAAUCCGCGAGAUUGAGCGUGAUUGGCCACAUGAGGUGGGUGGGCGCCCAGUAGGACAGGGCGGGCGCCCUGUCUCUGGCCCCGUUUUGCCUCCGCUUCGGUCUCGUGGCUUCUAGAGUCUUCUAGAUGUAAGAUAAUUGCGCAGCACGUUAAUAUCUUUACGUAAUCCCGACAUGUGGGCCUUUCUUCCAUAUUUCCUGAUAACCCCCUCCAGAAAUAGACAAACACCAAAACUCGUGGAAUUCUGUCAGAUAAAACCCUAAGUCUAGAUGUUGAUUUCAUUUGGAUCGUUUUCUUUAUUUAUUUGAUAAUUAAAUUUGAUACUUAAGGACCGUCAACAAAUUCCCCCAAGCUUACCUAUUGCUCGUCCCUGAGCAAGGAUAGAUUCAGCAAUGGAUCAGAAGUUGUUGCAAUAUCUUUAAAAAUUGACGGUACACAUGCUUUUUAAGUAAGUUCUCAUCUCUGAGUUAGAGUAAACUGUCAAGAACUAAAACUUACUUACUUUACCUUUCACCAUGGGACUUGUAACCGUCACUUCUGUCUUGAGUAGUUAAAAGAUAGAACAGUCUAGCCAAGUGCCAUGUCUCUUAUUCUUGAUCAGCUAUAGCUCUGGAGUUUUUGCAGAUUUUCAAAUAAAACUCAGAGAUUCCUUUGUAUGACUCUCUCAUAUCUCUCUUUUGUGGUAUUUCUGGAUCCUUACCAAGGCAGUGAUGGUAUAUGCCUUCUCUCAAAAUAUGUGGUAUUUGUGGUAUAAGGCAUAGUGACAUUGCCUUCUCUCGCACCCUACUCUAAUAAGGCUUUAAUAUCUGGAGCUCAUAGGUGGGAGAUAAAGUACACAUACUUACAAGACAUUUAUUAUGUAGUCAAACCAUGGAUCCAGAGAAACAAAUCAAUAAGCCAAAUCAAGAUGUGCAUGUGUGGCGAAUGAAUGGUGUAUAGUGAUGAUGGUGAUAACAAUGGUGAAAGUGUAAUUCUACUUUUGCUCUUAUGAGGGGAUACAUACCUUCCUUGUUUUUUGAAAUUUUAUGAGGAGAAUGAGAUGCUCUUCUUUUUCUUUUCUCUCAGAUGGGUAUCCUGUACCUCUAAUUCUACUAUCGGACACUUGUCCAUUUUUACCUCUCAUCUCACUCUUUUUCUUUUCUUUCGAGGUUCCGGGCACUUACCCCUUUUUAUUUCCUCGUUUAUUUUUUUUAUUUUCUCUUUUUUUUUUCUUCUUUUUUUCAGAGCACUCAUCUCUUAAGAUAAUAUAGCAAGUGGUAGUAGCAAGAUAACUUGAGCAUUUAUUUCACAAGGGAAAAACACAAAUGUUUUUGGCUAUUCUCUCCCGAAUUAGUAGAAUAUUUUUAGGUGAAACUGGAGAUGGAAAUGGAUGGAUAUAUGUGGAUGGUACUUCCGGAGUAGAAGUAGCAUAUAUGAGUGAACGUGCAAGUGAAUCUUGAUUUAACCACAUGACAAGCUCCUAAGGGUCUACACAGCUUGACCACACUCAAUGCUCAUAAGCAGUAAAUAGUAAAUGUGUGGCUCAAAGUCUAGCAAGCAUGUAUAUAUGGCUGUGGUAGGAAUUUAAAUUCUCAUCAUACAGGAACUCAUCAUGCAAUAUUUUUAAAGAUUUUUCAAAGAUAAAAUUCUCCAGAAUUCUAGCAUCUCUAGGAACAGAUAAACAGCAGCUCAACCUUCCCAUAUCAUAUCCGUUAACAACUUAGAUUUCAGAUCAAGUUUUCAUCCCACAAGUUUAGAUCUAGAGCAAGCUUUAAAUUAUAACAGUUAUGUCUAAACUUGAGAGAGAACUUCAAAUUUGCAAAUUAGGCAGAGCAACUAUUCAUCAUAUCCAUGCUAGAGUUUUAUUAUUAAGAUUCAGAUUAGCAUAGCCACUUUAUUUAUUUAUUAAACACACUAAGCAAAAGAUAUAUAUAAGCACAAAAUCUUUAUUUGGUUUUUCAUAGUUUAUGUAUUUUAAUAUUCUAAUAUAAUAUAAGUAUAAAGAUAGGUAGAAAUACUUAGCGAGAUAAAUGGGGGUGCUCUCCCCCAAGCUGAAUUUUGACGUAAUUUCUCUUGAUGUAGCUAGCAGGUGGCAGAGGUGUAUUUGAAAGUCACCAGCAUUCUGACAGCGAUUAGAAUGUCCUCCGUCUCCUAGUCUUCUUGAUUCUUAAAUUCUGUAGAGCUCAAAUAGACAACAAAGCUUGUGGAACUAAUUAAGUGUUAGCAUAAAUAUCUAGCCUUCAUCACGUUGAGCUUCCUCAAUAAAUAUUACUCCUUGUUUUUAUAUUUUUCUUUUAUAAAGUAGAAAAGAAAUAUUUAUUUUAUUUUUAUGCCACCACAGUGAAGGUACUUAUGGGUUUUAUGCCACUCGUAUACUCACAUGGGGCUUAGUAUUUUUUAACAUUUUUAUUUUCUUUUCAAGAUAGCAUGAUUAACUAAUAAUCUAUUUAAGGAAAGUAAAUAAUUAAAUGGAAAAGAGAAUGCAGAAAGGAUAAAUAUGGAUAACUACCAAUCUUACCUUUCGGCGAGGGUUCAAUGUUUUAAGUCUUCUUGUCAAGACUUCUCAUCGUGUUCAUUCUUUAGGUGCGUCAUUUGAUUCAGGUGCGGACCUUGACGUCUGCACCUUUUAAUACGGUGUCACCCAUGUUCUUCGUUUGCCCAGCAGUUCGAAGUGAGGUGUUAGCAGUAUCUUGCUCAGUGUGUUUGUGCUCGUAGUGUACCUGCUCAUAGAGACAAUGCAGAGAUCAAGUGCAUGGGCCCUGUUAGUGGAAAACACCAACAGAACCAAAAGUGUAUUUGUUCUUCUCUAACCUUAAGCAUAGUGAGCAAGACAAAGUUGAUGGAUGAUAAGUUCAUGAGUGUAGCACUUAUAACAUUUGUUAGAUCAGAUCGCUCAACCUUAUGGAAAGAUAAUCUAUCUAUGUAUAUGUCUUUUUCU